rnacentral:rRNA from 1 species
GAUGAACGCUGGCGGCGUGCCUAAUACAUGCAAGUCGAGCGAACAGACGAGGAGCUUGCUCCUCUGAUGUUAGCGGCGGACGGGUGAGUAACACGUGGAUAACCUACCUAUAAGACUGGGAUAACUUCGGGAAACCGGAGCUAAUACCGGAUAAUAUAUUGAACCGCAUGGUUCAAUAGUGAAAGACGGUCUUGCUGUCACUUAUAGAUGGAUCCGCGCGGCAUUAGCUAGUUGGUAAGGUAACGGCUUACCAAGGCGACGAUGCAUAGCCGACCUGAGAGGGUGAUCGGCCACACUGGAACUGAGACACGGUCCAGACUCCUACGGGAGGCAGCAGUAGGGAAUCUUCCGCAAUGGGCGAAAGCCUGACGGAGCAACGCCGCGUGAGUGAUGAAGGUCUUCGGAUCGUAAAACUCUGUUAUUAGGGAAGAACAUAUGUGUAAGUAACUGUGCACAUCUUGACGGUACCUAAUCAGAAAGCCACGGCUAACUACGUG